rnacentral:rRNA from 1 species
AUGAACGCUGGCGGCGUGCCUAAUCCCUGCAAGUCGCGCGAACAGACGAGGAGCUUGCUCCUCUGACGUUAGCGGCGGACGGGUGAGUAACACGUGGAUAACCUACCUAUAAGACUGGGAUAACUUCGGGAAACCGGAGCUAAUACCGGAUAAUAUAUUGAACCGCAUGGUUCAAUAGUGAAAGACGGUUUUGCUGUCACUUAUAGAUGGAUCCGCGCCGCAUUAGCUAGUUGGUAAGGUAACGGCUUACCAAGGCGACGAUGCGUAGCCGACCUGAGAGGGUGAUCGGCCACACUGGAACUGAGACACGGUCCAGACUCCUACGGGAGGCAGCAGUAGGGAAUCUUCCGCAAUGGGCGAAAGCCUGACGGAGCAACGCCGCGUGAGUGAUGAAGGUCUUCGGAUCGUAAAACUCUGUUAUUAGGGAAGAACAAAUGUGUAAGUAACUAUGCACGUCUUGACGGUACCUAAUCAGAAAGCCACGGCUAACUACGUG